UUUUUUUUUUUUGGUACUGGUAUUAAACACAGCAGUGCUCUAACACUGAGCUACAUUCCCAGCCUUUUUUAUUUUAAGACAGGUCUCACUAAGUUGCUGAGGCUGGCCUUCAACUUGUAAUCCUCAUGUCUCGAUUCCUGAGUUGCUGGAAUUGCAGGCAUGUACUUUAGCUCUAUUUCUACCAUGGUCUUUUUUUUUAAAAUACAAUUCCAAAGAUAAUUUAUAAAUCAAAACUUCUUAAAGUUUCUGAUUUAAUCCACCACCAAAAGUGUAGGACACAAACUUGCAAAUGUCUUAUUUCCUAGAAACUGCAUCUGGAAUAGAGAACUAUGUCUUUAUCUCAUUAUGUUAAGAAAACACAGCAACUUCUUCCCAUUCCUAACACAGCUUCAUAAUGAUUUGGUAUGUUGUUGACUUAGAAUUUAUGCUGUAAUUUAAUAUAAAACUAAACUAUUGCAUUAGUCCUGUUAUAACUGUGACCUUAGAGGUAAAUCUUCAGACCACAUGGAAGUAACUGCCAUGCUAACAAACACUGGCAGAACUCAUUCUAGAGACAGAAGCUGGACAAUUGAUUUUCCUCUUGACAAAUAAUAUUUCUGGGAAAUCAAUGAAAAUAAGGAAAGUAUAAAAAUUGUUUCAAAUUAGAAACAAUUUAGUUCUUUAAAAAUGAUUUUAUUUUAGCCCUUCAUUUUAUAUUAACAUAGAUCUGGCUUUGCUUUUUAUAAUUACAGAAAAAUUAAACCCUAAAACUAAGACUGAUUGGCUAACUUUUUAACAGUUAACAAUAAUAUAAAAAGAUAAACUUCUUUGUGAUAUAGGUUGAAGGAUAAAACAAUACUGCUGGUACCAAAACAUCUCCCUUUACUACUUAAAAAGAGAAUCAAACUUUCUAGAAUACACAGUUACAUAAAGGAUCCUGAAUGAUUUAAUUAAAACGUAUUUUAAUGGCAAAAUAGAAAGAUUUAUUAGAUUAAUUAGUAACAUCUUCUCUUGGAAAUCAAACCAAUAUUAUAUAAAUUAGAUGAUAUAAAAAAGGGCUACAACAUGGUGUAUUUUACUAACUCUUGACAUACGUCCCGUAGUGCUUUCCAGACAUGAGGCAAGAUGAGGUAUUUAGAAACUUGGGAAACCAGAUAGAUCCUUAAAUGAAACAACAAAAUGUCCAUCAGUACUAUAUCAAGGUCAUGGAGUUAGUCUCUUUUGAACUCUGUGAUGAAGAGAUUGAUAUGAUAGUUUUCUUAUACUGUUUUAUUAUAUAAUAACAUAUGUGUGUAUCUAUCUAUAUACGCAUCACAUGGAUGUAUGUAUACAUAGUCAUUGGUGUUCCUGUCUGAUCUUCUAUAUGAACCCCUUAUUGCUGGUUCUAUCUGUCAAGGACUUUUGUCCUUAUGCAAAUAAGAAAGUGUUCAGAAAUUUUGCAAGUGAAUACAGAAUAAAUUUGGCCUGCUGUUUUGUGCCUAAUUUGUGCCCACACAGAAUAGCCUGUGUUUGGAGGUGUACUACAAACAUAUGCCACAUUUCAGAGUUUAAGGAAUUCCUGUAUGACAGCAUUUCUCUCCAUAGAAGUAAUUCAAAAUGGAGAACAAUAUUAUUGCUGUCUUGCCUUUUAUAUUCUUGAAAUGGUAAAUUGGCUUUUUCAUGUCAUGUUUUUCUAUAUAGGAAAAACAACUGUGGUUGGCCUUCAAAGUAGAAGCAUAACAUAUUUUACCUCAAUGAAUUGAGAGUCCCUCAGUCAAUCUGCUGAGGUCUUGAUCAAGAGCAAAUCUUUAAUGACAUGCCAUGUAUUCUACCCUGUACUGAACGAAGGGAUGUGAAAAAUAUCUUUUUUUCUUCUUCUUCUUUUUUUUUUUCCUUGAGUGGCUUGGACCUAAUUAGGGAGAUGGAUUAAUCAUAAAAAGAAAAUAAUAUUGAAACCACCCAAAUUUUUAAAUAAAUAUUUAAUUUUCACAUUUUUACUAUGAGAUAUAAAAUUGAAGAACAACAUUUUUGUUCAACUACACAGCAAAUGUUACUCAAUCAUUUAAAAUAGAUAAAAAUAGUUACAUUUUUCAAAUUCUCCCAGGCUAUCUUGUAUUCAUUUUAUUUAAACGCACAGUGAUUUUUUCAGGGUCAGGAUUUGAUUUGGGUUUGCAUAUUGCAGUAAUUUCCUAUUUAAGCAAGAAGAUCAGAGAUUAAUAUCUUACUUCUUUGUAGUUGUAAUUUUUAUUCUCUUCUUCUAUUAAGAAAACCAUGGGAGAGAAUAACUGUAACAAAAAGAACAAAUAAUGAUAUUUAUAGGUCUAUGAAAAUGCCUCGGUUUAACAAAAAUAUUCUGAUUAAAUGGAUAACAUUUUAUUAAAAUAUUAGAUAUUGUUUACAAACAAUACAAUUUGAUUUAUGCUUAAUCUAAGUAUAGUAAAAUUAAAUGUCUAUCUUUUAGACUUUUAGACCUGGUUUAUUCAAACAAGUUUUGGUCCAGGAAGGGAGAGGGAGGAAGAUGCAAACAUAUAAAGAAAGUAUAGAGGAAAGCAGAACAUGGCAGAUGUCAGACAACAUUAAAAUGCAGGUGAGUCUGAAGCUCACAAAAAAUUAAGGAAAAACUUGAGGCAAUCAUUUAGCUAAGUACUUACUGAAGCACUGCAAAAUGAGUAUGCCUAAAACAUUCCGAUAACAGGAUUUGUUUUGGGGGAAAAAUGUUUCAUGUCUGUAACUAGUAUUGUGUAUACAGCUAGCCUCCAGAACAUUAGAUGGCUGUAACUUUCCUAUUUUGGAAGGUGGAGGACAAGGUUAAAAAAAAAAAAAGAUAGGCGCGGGCUACUCAAGAUCAGCAAGUGUGCCAGCAAGUUCAUCGCCAGAUUCUUCAGCAUGUUCAGAGAUGCAAAAAGCCCAGACCACCUUAGAGCCUCCAAAGGCUGGUGAACGACUCGGGAAAUUUUCUGGUUUGCAGUUCCACCUGGUGACCAGAGAUGGCGCUGAGUGUACAGGGAACCUGGGGCUAACUGGAAUCAGAAAUUGGAAAGAAACAAGACUCAAGUCUGGGAGCACCAAAUCCUCCAUUAACCCCAGCAGCAUCCCAUUCAGGAUAGGAAGGAAAGAAAAGCAGAAGAACAAAUCAAAGAGACCUGCAUUAGGCGAGCCACAUUAGGAAUAAAAAUUCCCACAUCAGGAAUGCAGACCAAAGCACUCAGCCAGGACUGGCACAGCAGGAAAAUAAAUUUAACUUAUUUUCCUAAGUUAUAUAAUCUUUUGAGGAAGUUUGUAUUUGAGAGAACAACCACAGGAGUUUUCAUGUUAAAGUCUAAAUGCAUGUGAUUAUACUCUUUCUGGGUUUAACAAGGAGAAAUCCAGAAUGAAUGUGGUACAGUCAAAGUAUACUACCUAUAGAGUCUAACUUUAUGCAUUUUAAAUUUCCUUUAGGUAAGCAGUUGUUUUGUAAAUAAGCAUGACCAUCUUAAGUGAGGAAGACAAACUGUUUCACUUGUAGCAGUGUGAAACGAUUGUGUGUGUGUAUGUGUCCUUUUCACUUACGUUUGUAAAAACAACAUGAAAGAGGAAAUAUUACUUAAAGUUACUCCAAUAAGCAUGGAAAUAUUCUAAAUAUAUUUUUUAAAAAGAAUCUUUUGAAAUAAAUAUUUUUCUAAAAAAAUAAAUAAAUGUAUGGCAAUUGAUUUUUUCUUUGCUUUUGUGUUACUUAAACCUCUGUUAAAAAAAACAAAACCCAUAAAGACAAAAGUUACCAAAUCAUACAAAAGGAUUCACAUGGUAAAUAAGUAUAUCCUUCUGUGCAUUGCUUGGAUACCUCCUUCUGCCUUCUCUAUUUGCAUUUAUAACUAGGGCACACAGAAUCUGGUUAAAGAGGUCCUAAGUAUGCUAUUCUUGCUACUCAAACUGUGGUUUGUGAACAAGCGGCAUCAGCAUCACCUGGGAACUUGUUAGAAGUGCAGAAUCUCAGGCCUUAACACAGAUUUCAAUGAGUCAGGAUCUGUAUUUUAAUAAGAUUCCCAAGUAACAUGUGUGCAUAGAAUAGUUUGAAAAAUUCUUCUUUAGGUUCCAAAGAGAGCCACUAAUUGAGAUCAAAAUAGCAAGAGACUAUAUGAAUGGUCUAACUAUAAUCGAUGGCCCUAUUCCUAGUCUAUCUAUAGAAAAUUCCAAGAGUCAAAAUCAAUCUUCAUUAGAAAUGUUGAAAAGAGGUGUUCACAGUGAGAAGUUUUCUUCUUCCCAAGGAGAUGAGAGAUGUUCCAAAGGAGUCAGAGAUGGACUCUCCCAGAGAGCCCUUGCAUCUAAAUCCAAGGCUAUGUGUCCAUGGAUUUGUAGGAUCUGUGUGACCACAUUGUUGUUUCCUUCAAGUGUACAGGAGCAUGAGAGUUAUUGGGAAGGGAAUGUAGUACAUCAUGGAAGAAGAUGGAGUAAGUAGUCUCCCAAACCAUCUCAUUCUCUAUGACCUUGAAAGGGGUACAGAAGAUGUAUGAAUCUCCUGUGGGCCCAUAAGAUGAGGAAGAAGAAACCCAACAAGGUCUUGUCUAUCCCAGAACAUUGUGGGCAUGAUCUACUGUCAUGGCUGCUAUGUCUGAAUGGAGAAACAUUGGUAGAAGAGGCUAGGGUGAAUAUAGGGGAGCUCUGCACUAAGAAAAACACCCACACGGUUACCUGGUAACCCCACCACAUGGCUUUGAUCAGCAGCAAGGAGAAUGAGCAGAGUAGAGCAUGACCAGGGUCUAGUGCCCAUCAUCACUCUCAGAGUAGAAGAAUAAUGAUGAACACAGAGCUCUACUUUUUAAAUAAAUCAUCCUUUCCUGCUUACUACCUGAGAAGCAAGAUGAGGAAAAUGCAGUUUCAUUCCUCUCCACCUCUGCCAUAUGCACAUGUCUUGAUGAGGGAAAUUAUAGUACUAUGGCUUUAAUUUAGCUUUAUAACUUUACUAAAAGGGAUAUAAUAUUUAAUUAUUUUUCAGACAAAAAAAAGGUGUAACCGACUCCAUUCACAUCUUUUUUUUGCAACCACACAUCCUCCCAGGACAGUCCUCACCCAAAGGCUGACAAGAAUUCGAGCAUAAAUACCUUUCCUUUCCUUUCUCUCUUCAGGAAAAGGUGAAUCUGAGGCACAGUGCACACCAUUUCCCAGAAAUUUCCAGUGGGGAAACUGGAAAUGAUUUAAAAACAAAUCUACUACGACAGAAUCUGACCAACCAGUUGAUUAUUGCAGCACAAUUGAGGACCAGGUAAAGGUCUAGAAAUCAUAAGGGUGAAUUCGCAUAAUGGAAAAAGUGCCUUUUCUCUGAUUUGCAAAAUGAGAUCAGUGCAAAAUGUAAAAUAUUGUAGAGAUGUCCAUGAUGAUUAUAGAAUUGAGUUGUAAAAUAUAGUGUAAUAGAAAUGUGCAUUCCAAGUACAAACAGUUUUUAGAAUCCAUUUAGAGAGUUUUGUGGAAAUUGUUUUCUAGUUUAUGUUUUCAGAGUUUUGUUUGUGUCCUCUUCCUUCCUGCAAUUUGCUUUCUAAGACAUGUCAUUAUAUAUAUUUUUUUUCAAAUUUGAAGGAAUCAAGGAGAUAAAGCAGGUAAAACUCAGUGAGCAGUAAGAUUUGUUCUUUUUCAAACAAAUUCAUCUAAAAAGCAAAAGGAAAGGAUUUUGAAACAACUAUCUAAAAUAUUGCUUACUACCUAUGGAUCUCACAUUUUUAAGGUAAAUUCAUUUUUUGAUGGUGCAGUACAGAUUGGCAGGAAGAAACUACCCGUGCACAUGCAAGCGUUCAUAUUUUCUAUUCUUUCUGGGUACAGAGCUCAGAAUAGUGCAAAAUGGGCUAUUGGAGUAACACCUAUUACUGCAGUUCUUAAAGACAAAUAACAGGAAGCUUCCUAACAUGGGUUUAGACUGAAUUCACGGAUGUUGUCCAUGAUUAGCAAACCAAAGCUAAAAGUGUUACUGAAAGGAACGUAACUAUGCAGAAAAAUACAGGCAGUGUAUCAUAGUGUACCUUUCCUUGGCCUGGGGAUCCAAGGACUACCCAGUUGUGGGCAAAACUGCCAGUAGUUUGAGUAAAAGGUCAAGUUGUACACUGAGCAGUCUUUUAAUUUUAAGCAACUUUUUAGUACUUGGGUCGACUUUCUAUGCAUAACCAGCUUGCUUUUACUUAAGGCAGUGUUCUUCAACCUCAGAACUUCUGACUUUGGACCAGACAGCUUUGUGUUGUGGGAGCCUAGUCUGUGCACGGGUGGAUGCACAGGUGUGGUGACAACCCUACAUACCUCCACAUAUUGCCAGGUAAACUGCUGGACAAGCAGCACACAGUGGGAAAGCACUGAAUGGAGGUAAUAUUUACAAGUAGUCGACUCUCCUGAUUUUUGUACACUCAGUAUCAUCAAAGCAGUGUCAUGGUGCCCAGAAAAGGAAACUGAGUCAGUGGUCCACAGAUGCUGACAGCUCCCUAUAUCUCUUAAAUGCCAUUUCUGCAAAACCCUACCCUCUGCUCUCAAAAAUCAUCAGGUUGGAAGUGCUUUACAUUACAAAAUUGCAUGAGAUUAAAUAUUUAAGUGCCUGUUGAUGCCAUUUAUAAAUCAUACAUUGCAAUCUUCUUUCUUUUUUGCCUUCCCUUUGUAUUUUUUUUUCCCACUUUUUUCUCACUUCCCACAUUUUCAUCUGUUGCACAUGGUGGUUUCUGCAAGUGAAGAAUGAGGCAGUCAUGUCUGGACUAUUUCUGUUGUAAAUUUAAGUUUAAUCAUCAGGUCAACCAAUCAAUCACAUUGUGAAGUGUGGCAAUGUCCUUCCUUAUUACACUGUGGAGUCUUUCCACCAUUUAUCUAAACACAGCAUAUGUUCAAAUUCAUGUCCAUCCUGCCACAAUUUCUGUUUAUAUCUUACCCAUUCCACUUUUUCGACAGUUUGUUUUAGUAAAUAUGGGCAAUUUUACAAAGAAAGAACAUUGUGCUUGUCACCAGAAAUAUAAAAAGAUGUGACAGUUGUGAAGAGCAAUAAUAAUAAUGCAUUUGGUAUUUUCCAGCAAUAACUACAAGUAACAGGUUUAAGAUAUGAAAGUUUCAAACAAGAAUAAGUGCAGCCAGAUCUCUCCUGCAGGGUAAAGGCAGAGAUGGAGCAUCUGUUACUGAACUUGACAUUUCCUUUGAUGCACUACUCAAUAACCACAGUACUUUACCAGUAUAGUUAUAAACUGUUUUUUUUUUAAAAAGUGCAAAGUCACUUCUUACCCACUUCUUUCAGUCCAUUUUCUGUUGCUAUAAGUGUAUACCACAGACUGGAUGACUCAGAAAGAAUGGAGGUUUAUUUAGCCUACAGUUCUGGUGCAUGGGAAUCCCUGUAUCAAGGUGCCAGCCUCUGGUGAGGGCAGUUUUGCUUUCAUGAUAUGGCAGAGAGUUUCACAUGUUAAGACAGAGAAAGCCCACAAGCUUGGGUCUCUCUUUCUCUCUUAUAAAUCCAUUAAUGUCAUUAUGUGGCUCCACCCUCAUGACCUCAUCUAAUCCCAGUUACUCUCUAAGGUCCCACUCCUGAUACCACCAGCAUGUGACCUCAGGGAUUCUGUUUCCAACACAUGGUUUAAAGGAGACACACUCAAAUCAUAGCACCACCAAGAUGGCUCUCAGAAAGGCAGGAGGCAAGGAGGGUGGGCAAGGACCUGAAGGACUGGGAGCACUCACCUCUGCUGGUGGGGAUUUAAAAUAUAACAACUACUUUGGAAAACAGCUAGAUAAUUUCUUAAAAAGUUAAACAGUUUACAAAAACAUUCCUACACAUCUAGCUAAGAUAAAUAAAAAAACAGGUGCCCUAAAGGUUUGUUCAGAAUAGCACCAUUGUACAUAAUUGGAAGAAGUGACAAAAAUCCAAAAGUCCAUCAGCUCCUGAAUGAAUGACAAAAUAUGAUGUAUCCACACAAUGGAAUACAACUCAGCAAUAAAAAAGGAUUAAGCCACUAAUUUGUGCUACAUGAAUGAAUCUCAAAAACUAUGCCAACAAGUCCAGUGAAAAUGACUACAUAUUAUAAGAUACCAUUUAUAUGCAGUGUUCAGAAAAGUUAAAUUUACAGAGUUAAGAAGCAGAUUAGGGAUUUCCUAGGGUUGGGUGUUAGAACAGGGAUUAAUUAAAAAUCGGCACAGAGGAUCUUUCUAGAACAACAGAAGUGAUUUAAAAUUGGAUAUGAUAAUAAUUUCAUGGCUCUGUGAAAUAUUUUUGUAAAAUAUUUACAAAACUGAAUUAAAUGUAAAAUUUUGCAAUCUGCAAAAUAUCCAUAUGUAUUGGUAAAGUUAUAAUUGCCCAUAUUUACUCAAUAAAAAUAUUGAGUUAUACAAUUUAAAUGCCUGAAUUUUAUGAUAUAUAGGUUAUCCCUCAACAAAACUAUCUAACAAUAAAUGGGAAAGCAGGUGGUAGAAAUACCUGGUUUGGAACCUUUCUUAGGUUACUUUGGUCCAUACAUUUACUUGUGUGUACAUCCUACUGAUUUCACGUAGCUCUGCUCUAGCCACACCAAUGGUUUCUACUUUCCCUGAGGGUCUUACCAAAAUCCUGAAUGAGGUAAAUCUAUUCUUAUUAUACUUAGUCAUUGUGAAGUAGUGAAGGAUUGACCUGAACCAAAGAGAGGUCCAGCAUUUGCCCUAGACUACCAGAACUGAUCUCUAAAUCUUGAUUUCAUGCCUGAGGGGGUCAUCCUCUUUGCCUGGAAGCUUGGCCUCUGUGAUUUGGGCUGGGGGCUUCCUGUGGAGGGGACUGGAGACUGACUUUGUGAGCCUGACUCUGGGAGAACCUGUGGACUGAAGGGUAAGCACAUGGACCUCAUGUAGUUGCGCCCCAGUAGACCUAGCCAGCCCAGGCUCAGGAGAGCUUCCUGAUCAGCACUACUUCAGGUAUUCUAUCCCACACUGAUGCUGGAAGAGUAAUGUGUCCAUUUCUCCAUGCAAGAGGACAGCGGAAGCUCUGCGUUUCCCUUCCUGGACUCUGCCCUCUGCACCUUAUCCUUUAGAUGACCCUAUUUCAUAUCCUUUCCCUGUAAUAAACCCCGACUGUGAGUGUAACAACUUUUAGUGAGUUCUGUGAGUCAUUCCAGAGAAUUAUGGAAACAGAAGGUGGUUUCAGCUAAACAACUGGUGUGAGAAAUGAAGGUGAUUUUGUGAGGAGACUAUGCCCUCCAAAGGCCCAGUUGGGUAAACUAUUCCCCAAACAACCAUUUCUCAUUCAUGUUGUCAGCAUUCUGGAUUCCAUUUUUCAAUUGUUCAGGAUAGUAACACCUUCAGGAUAGAAUCUUAUUUGGUGUCUUUCUGGCAGCUGAUAACUGAUAAAUGUUGAUUAGAGUCAUGACAAAUAUUUUUAGGAAAAGAUUUUAAUUCUUUUGUGGAAGUACCAAGGCAGUGUUUUGCGUCAGACCAGACCCCUAAGUGUAGUUUUAUAUGGACAGAAGAUAACCAUGGCAAUAUUCAUUUGAACUGAAUUAAAUGAAGAAGCUUUAACUCAGAUGGCAGGCUCAUGUGAGGGAAUCCUUAACAAGCACUUGUUCUAUUUUUUUUUGUUGUUGUUGUUGGUGGAGGUGCUGGGGAUUGAAUCCAGGGCCUUGUGCAUGUGACGUAAGCACUCUACCAACUGAGCUAUGUCCCCAGCCCAACAAGUACUUAUUCUUGAUGAAUGGCCCUCCAGUAUUCAGUCAAUCAUUAUAUAGACAUAACUAAGUGAUUUACAUUUAUGCACAUUUAUAUCACAUAUACUUCACCUUAGAUGUUACAAAGGGCUUGCAUGUAAGUUAUCUCAUAGGAUGAUUACAAAAAUCUCACGAGUAGGGCAUAGAAUGCUUAAGAUAUUUAUUAUCUUUCUUAUAUUUUCAUAGUCACGGAGGGAUCUCAUUAUAUAAUAAGUGAAGGUCCCUCAUCUAAAUUCCCUAUCGUGAAAACCUUGUGACUUUCCCAUUGUCAGACGUUUAGACCAAAAGUGGCAUCGAACCAAAGCUGAGCCAGAAAUCUGUGUGAUAAAUCGACAUGAGAUGAGAAGAAGCCAAAUCAUCUGUCCUGGGAAUAUGAGUUGUCAAUCACAGUCUCUGACCUGGAAGCUGAAGUUGAAGGUUGAAAGGCUACAGGAGGUGAGGCAGGGUCUUGGGGUUCCUGUGAAGUCAAAAUCCUAGGAAAGAUGGAGUUAUGAGUCAAGUAGAAAGUGGGAGGAAAAAAGACAGAAUGCCCCAGAAGACUUUUGAUAGAGAGGUAGAAGUAAUCAGAAACACACAGGUAGUGGAUCCAGUUCAAUGGUGGGCAGGAAAGUGUGUAUCUCUGUGUCUGAGAGACCUCAAGACUGCCCUGACUAUCCACCAAAUCCCUCUGGUCCUUCUGAUGUGCGGAUGUUAGGCUAAACUUAACUGUCUCUCAUAGGUAGCCUUUAUGUCACUGUCAUUACCAUUAAUAGCAAGACUAGCUUUAUUUUUUAAAUUAUAGAUCUUUCAUAUUUAAACAUAAACAGAUGAAUUAUUAAUAACUUUCCUCAGAUAUGGCUUACUGAUUCACUUCUUCUCAGAAAAACAUAAUAAGCAAAAAUGAGAUAUUUUCCACAAAUAUGCACCUAAUAUAUUACUCAGCCUUGUUUUGAAAUUCCUGCCACAUAAAUAUUUUAACAUAGCUAUCAGAUAAAGUACCUGUUAUUUGGAUGCAUGUUACUUUGAUUUUGAAAGUUUGCUUUACUUAUGCUAUCCCUGAACACAGCAGAAUUGAAAUCUUAAAAACUGAUAAAUGCAGACUCCCUGAACCUCCAAAUUAGGCUGCUGGGAACCUAUUGUGGAAAGCAGAUGCAACACCACGAGUGUGCAGCAUUGAUGUAUUCACAAACUUGGCGUCCUGGUUGGCUGGGUGGACGCUCGUCCUAACCUCACACUUUAGAGGACGUCUUAGUGAGAUAGGCUCAUCAUUUGGAUGCCUUGCAAAAUGUGGCCAAUUUUCAUUUCUGAAGUGGUUUUCCUAAAGUUUAUAGCUGUGCAUCUUUUUUUUCCUUAAUGCCAAGCAAUAUCCUCAUGGUUUUUUUUUUUACAUUUAAAUUUGAAGCUGCUUUAGUUAUUUUCUUUUGAUUUUUCUCUUUUUUGGGGGCGGGUAGGGGGCAGGUAGUGGGCAUAUUGGCAAUUUAACUUUGUCUUGCAACAUUGUUCUCAUUAUUAAAUAGAGUCUGUACUUGUCUGACUACAAAGUGGACUAAUGAUUUAUUAUUAUUAUUAUUAUUAUUAUUAUUAUUAUUUAUUGCUAGUUCUUGUUCUUAUACCUGGCUAUUAGGAAUCUAAAUUGGAUAAGAUUUCCUAACUGCAGUGACUGUGUUAUUUGUUUGACAUCAGACUGCUUCCCGGAAAUAAUUCCAUUCCACUUUGCUUCAGGUCUGCUCAGUGUUUACACAUCCAUUAUUUCAAAAAUGCCCUCUUAGCUCGUGGGGCAGAUACAAUUUUACAGAUAAAUAAACCUAGACUGAGAGGAGUUAAAUGGCAUAUGUAAGGUCGCAGAGCUAGUCACAGCUUGCUCUUAAAAAGACUAAGAAUUUUCAAAAUGAUUUGUUCACAUAUUGUCAUAUAUUUAAAAAAUCAGACCAGAUUUAAACUCCAGAUGGUAUCUUUGUUCAUGCUAAUAUAUAAAACAACUACAUUUCACAUGUUUUACUUAAGUCACAUAUUUUCUCCAAUUCCCCUUUGCUCGUCUCCUUUGUACAUAAUGUCACAGACUUGGGGCAAAAGUGAGAAGAGUCUUUUGUGGGUGUGGGUGUGAGUGUUGAUGUAUUUCCGUAGUAGUACACUGACUCUUUGGUAGUGGUCAUCAGCAAAGGUCUGGUCUGGGGAUGUCCUUCUUCUUAUUUCUCCAGUGUCAGUGAAAAUGACAUUUUUUUUUUUUUUUUACAGAAAACUAGACAGACUACAUAGACAGGUGGGCAUUGUAUUUGGUUGCAACCCAGUGGAGUCAGUUGGUUAUUUAGUUUCCUGGUGGAUGAUACCAUGGGACCUCUGCGGAAACAUUCUGCAUCCUGGGACCACAUUUUGGUCCCAUCAUUUAAAAAGCAAUCAAAACUAAAUAGGAAUGAAAUACCCAAGAAACUCUGGGAAUAGAACAAACUGGGUUCACAUGAUUCAGUCAUUUUUAAAAAUCAAAUCCAGGUGCUGAAGCAAAUAAAGGUCAUUAUUUAAGUGUAGACACAUUUGAGCAGUUUGCACAAUUGUUUUCUGCAACCUCCAGCCCUUGUGUCAUUGAUAGCAGAAGAGCUCUGCCUCCUCCCAAGCCCACUUCUUGCCAGUAAGAUAGACCCUCAAUUAUGGAACAAGAUUUGGUCACAAUGCUGCAGAACUUGUACUAUGGGGGUAUUUUUUACUCAAUAAGACUGUAAUAUCUUUCUUUCCUUAUUUUUAAACAAACCUCCAUCUCAUUCUGUUCUGCAUAUCCUAAGUGACAUAUCUGAAUGCAUGGAUAAUAAAUUGCCAAGACUGAUUUUUCUUGGGGAAAAUACAGACAGUUUUAACAUAUUAUGUGUGUGUAUAUACACACAUAUACAUAUAUAUGUAUACAUACAUUUUCUCACCACAUACAUAUAUGGACAUGUAUACACACAUUAUAAUAUCAUAUAUGUACGUAUACUCACCACACAUAUAUUUCUAAAUUCAUUGUUUAUUUGGAAAGAGACAAAGAAAGGUGGGGGCAUGAGUAAAAAAGAGCAGAGGGUCUUUAACAAAUCCAAACAAGUACCAUUUCAGAUGAAAAUGAGCUUCCGGGUUUCCAUAUUUCCCACUGUGUGGUCAGGUCUUACAGGAGAUAGCUGCUUCCUGUGUGAGCAAAAGCUCACAGGCUGAGUCCCCAUUUCUGGAUGUUUCUGUGAAUGACUGUUGAUAGAGCUCUCAUUUUCACUUACCCGGGAUUAAAUUCCUUUUUGUUUGGUGGCUGUGUCCUGAUUCUUUUCAGUGAAAGAACAUCCUUCUUUUUUCUGAUUUUAAAUAUUUUAAAAUAAUGUUUUGUUAGUGCAUUCCAGUGCACAUACCAUCAGGGUUCGUUUUGACAUAAUUGCACAUGCAUGGAAUACAGUUUGUUCCGUUUCUGUCUCCCAUCCUUCCUCUUUCCCUCCCUUUCUUUCUCCCCCUGUUCCUCUUCCUGUACUCUACCAGUCUGUCUUUUAUUCAUUUAUUUUUUUAAUGUUUUUUGGGUUGACCUGAUUCAUUUUAUUAUUUUAUUUUUAUUAUUGGUUGUUCAAAACAUUACAUAGUUCUUGAUAUAUCAUAUUUCACACUUUGAUUCAAGUGGGUUAUGAGCUCCCAUUUUUACCCCAUAUACAGAUUGCAGAAUCACAUCAGUUACACAUCCAUUGAUUUACAUAUUGCCAUACUAGUGUCUGUUGUGUUCUGCUGCCUUUCCUAUCCUCUACUAUCCCCCCUCCCCUCCCCUCCCCUCCCCUCUUCUCUCUCUACCCCCUCUACUGUCAUUCAUUUCUCCCCCUUGUAUUAUUUUUCCCUUUCC
rnacentral:lncRNA from 1 species